UCGAGAAUUUUUCUCAAUGGGGGAAACCCUGAAGGAGCGACGCCGCGUGGAGGAUGAAGGUCUUCGGAUUGUAAACUCCUGUCAUUGGUGAACAAGGCUAGGCGAGUAACUGCGCUCUAGUUUGAUAGUAGCCGAAGAGGAAGAGACGGCUAACUCUGUGCCAGCAGCCGCGGUAAUACAGAGGUCUCGAGCGUUGUUCGGAUUCAUUGGGCGUAAAGGGUGCGUAGGCGGCGAGGCAAGUCUGGUGUGAAAUCCCGGGGCUCAACCCCGGAACUGCACUGGAUACUGCCUUGCUAGAGUACUGGAGAGGGAACUGGAAUUUACGGUGUAGCAGUGAAAUGCGUAGAUAUCGUAAGGAAGACCAGUGGCGAAGGCGAGUUCCUGGACAGUUACUGACGCUGAGGCACGAAGGCCAGGGGAGCAAACG
rnacentral:rRNA from 1 species